CUUUGGGUGGUUUUGUAGGACGAACAUCCUCAAGAUGAACGUCCUACCCAGAAUACUAUACAUACUGCAAGUGCUCCCUAUAACUAUUCCCAAGUCCUGGUUCACUACAGUCCGAAAAACACUCACCACAUUUAUCUGGGCUCACAAAUCUCCACGAAUAUCGUACUCAUUACUCACAAAACCUAAAGACAGGGGCGGCCUGGGUCUGCCUGAUGUUGAAACAUACCACAACGCAAUACUACUAUCCAGGAUAUACGACUGGUCCCUCCCGAAUUCCGGGAAACAAUGGGUGACCUUAGAAGACUCCUUUUUCAGAGUACCUAUUUACACAAUACCCUGGCACAAAUCAGGGCAAGUACUCAUGCUCCACAACCCACAUCCCACCAUCACACCGACCCUUCGCAUGUGGGCGACCAUUCGCACACACAACCUGAUGUCGCCCUACCCAUCGCCACUAUACCCGCUCACACAUAACCCCCUAUUCCAGCCGGGAGUAGACGGCAAAUCUCUCCGGGCCUUCCAUACAACACCAUAUCUGACAUUGGAGAAUGCCUUGACAACUGUCGGGGCAAAAGUAACAAAGCCCUUACAAGCAUUUAUAACUAACCCUACAGCUAUGCAAACGUAUCAGUACAGGCAACUGACACACUUUAUUCAAUCUAAAUCCCUAACCCCCACCGGCAGCCGUGCACAGACUAACUUUGAAAAAUGCUGUUCCCUCCAAUCCAUAAGAACAAAACACAUAUCAACAAUGUACUCCCACAUUCUAUCCACAAGGCCACAACAAUUGCCGACCUUCACUACCACUUGGGAAAAAGAGUUAAACCUCGUAAUACAGCCCGACAAAUGGAAACGGAUUUUUAAACAAAUACACAAAUCCUCAAAAAACACAACUACACAGGAAAGUAACUAUAAAAGAAUAACGAGGUGGCAUUACACACCCUCAAAACUACACUCCCUAUUCCCCGCAACCUCCAAACAAUGUUGGCGCUGCCACUCAGCAGUGGGCACCACCUCGCAUAUUUGGUGGUCAUGCCCAGUGAUACAAACAUUUUGGACACGCGUGGCAGGCCUGAUCCACGCCAUACUCAAGAUAACUGUCCCCUUAGACCCAGACACAUACAUAUUCCUCCUCACCCCAUACGGCUUACCGAAACAUACGGCAGCCCUGCUCAUACAUCUGAUAACAGCGGCGAACCAGCUUAUCCCAGCCCUAUGGAAACAACCAAACCCCCCGACCAUACGCGAGUGGAUACAAAAAGUAGAAAAUACCAGAAGUCUAGAAGAAACGUGCUAUGCCCUAUCAAACCAAUACCAACACUACACAGAGACCUGGUACCCCUGGACCCAAUACCUCCGCCAGAC